rnacentral:rRNA from 1 species
UACAGAGGGGGCAAGCGUUAUUCGGAAUUAUUGGGCGUAAAGGGCGCGUAGGCGGCUUUGCAAGUGACGGGUGAAAUCCCUCGGCUUAACCGAGGAACUGCCUGUCAGACUGCAUGGCUUGAGACCGGGAGAGGUGAGUGGAAUUCCCAGUGUAGCGGUGAAAUGCGUAGAUAUUGGGAGGAACACCAGUGGCGAAGGCGGCUCACUGGACCGGUACUGACGCUGAGGCACGAAAGCGUGGGGAGCAAACAGG